UACGUAGGGUGCAAGCGUUGCUCGGAAUCACUGGGCGUAAAGGGUGCGUAGGCGGCCGUGCAAGUCUGGCGUGAAAGCCCCGGGCUCAGCCCCGGGAAGUGCGCUCGAAACUGCGCGGCUCGAGUGCCGGAGGGGAGAGUGGAAUUCCUGGUGUAGCGGUGAAAUGCGUAGAUAUCAGGAGGAACACCGAUGGCGAAGGCAGGUCUCUGGGCAUUAACUGACGUGAGGAGCGAAAGCAUGGGGGAGCGAACAGGA
rnacentral:rRNA from 1 species